rnacentral:rRNA from 1 species
GAUGAACGCUGGCGGCGUGCUUAACACAUGCAAGUCGAACGAUGAAGCCCAGCUUGCUGGGUGGAUUAGUGGCGAACGGGUGAGUAACACGUGAGUAACCUGCCCUUAACUCUGGGAUAAGCCUGGGAAACUGGGUCUAAUACCGGAUAGGAGCGUCCACCGCAUGGUGGGUGUUGGAAAGAUUUAUCGGUUUUGGAUGGACUCGCGGCCUAUCAGCUUGUUGGUGAGGUAAUGGCUCACCAAGGCGACGACGGGUAGCCGGCCUGAGAGGGUGACCGGCCACACUGGGACUGAGACACGGCCCAGACUCCUACGGGAGGCAGCAGUGGAGAAUAUUGCACAAUGGGCGCAAGCCUGAUGCAGCGACGCCGCGUGAGGGAUGACGGCCUUCGGGUUGUAAACCUCUUUCAGUAGGGAAGAAGCGAAAGUGACGGUACCUGCAGAAGAAGCACCGGCUAACUACGUG